CACCUUUCUCUUCUUAGAAUAAGCCUGUCUUUUGUGGCUUCUUAAAUUCACUCACCUGGGCACUUCAGAAGUGACUUAAUGUCUGGUUAACAUCAUAAAAGCAUUAUUUGAGGACUCAGCUGCUCCUAGCCAAGUGAGAUGCAUGGUACCUCACAAGCUGUACAUUUUUAAAAUUUGCAUGUUAUGUUAUUUGGUGUUAGGGCAGCAGUUAAUUUAGUCAUCCAAUACAGUGCAGC